UACGUAGGGGGCAAGCGUUGUCCGGAAUCAUUGGGCGUAAAGAGCGUGUAGGCGGCCAGAUAAGUCCGCUGUGAAAUCUCGAGGCUCAACUUCGAGCUGUCGGUGGAAACUGUCUGGCUAGAGUCCGGAAGAGGAGAAUGGAAUUCCUGGUGUAGCGGUGAAAUGCGCAGAUAUCAGGAAGAACACCCGUGGCGAAGGCGGUUCUCUGGGACGGUACUGACGCUGAGGCGCGACAGCGUGGGGAGCAAACAGG
rnacentral:rRNA from 1 species